rnacentral:snRNA from 1 species
UAAACCAGUUGGACAAAGACCCA